CCUCUCCGCUCCCCUCCCCUUCCCUUCCUUCCCUCCCUCCCUCCCGCCGGAGCGCCCGCGGCCCCCGCUCCUCGGCCUCCCCCGCGGCCGCAGGGACGAGGAUGGCGGAGAGCGAGGCCGAGACCCCGAGCACGCCCUGCGAGUUCGAGAGCAAGUACUUCGAGUACAAUGGGGUGCGGCUGCCGCCCUUCUGCCGCGGGAAGAUGGAGGAGAUCGCCAAUUUCCCGGUGAGGGACAGCGACGUCUGGAUUGUCACCUACCCCAAAUCAGGCACAGGGUUGCUGCAGGAAGUGGUUUAUCUAGUGAGUCAGGGAGCUGAUCCAGAUGAGAUUGGACUAAUGAAUAUAGAUGAACAGCUUCCAGUCCUAGAGUACCCUCAGCCUGGUCUGGACAUCAUCAAGGAACUGACGUCUCCUCGCCUCAUAAAAAGCCACCUGCCAUACCGGUUCUUGCCUUCAGACCUCCACAACGGCAACUCAAAGGUCAUAUACAUGGCUCGCAACCCCAAAGACCUGGUGGUGUCUUAUUACCAGUUCCACCGCUCCCUAAGGACCAUGAGCUACAGGGGAACGUUCCAGGAGUUCUGCAGAAGGUUUAUGAAUGACAAGUUAGGAUAUGGUUCGUGGUUUGAACACGUGCAAGAGUUUUGGGAACAUCACAUGGAUGCCAAUGUACUUUUUCUCAAGUAUGAAGAUAUGCACAAGGACCUUGCGACGAUGGUUGAGCAGCUGGUGAGGUUCUUAGGAGUUUCCUAUGACAAAGCCCAGCUGGAAUCCAUGGUGGAACACUGCCAUCAGCUCAUUGACCAGUGCUGUAAUGCAGAAGCUCUUCCUGUUGGCAGGGGUAUGUUCAGAACCCACAGUAAAACCCUUCCUGGAGAAGUUGCAAGAGGCAACUGCACAACUCAGUGACCUCCAGGCACAUUGAUCUUUACUCUGAAGAUAACCCUGAACUGCUGUGAAAGUAGAGCAGUGAUUAGAUAUGUUACUUGUAUUUGACUCUUAUCACAUCCUAAUUUACGCAGUUGCAUGAUUCAAAUCAGAAACCAGGACGAGUUGGGCUAUGGAAAGACAUCUUCACUGUUUCAAUGAAUGAGAAAUUUGACUUAGUUUAUAAACAGAAGAUGGGAAAAUGUGACCUCACAUUCGAUUUUUAUUUAUAAAAAAUGCAUGCCUAUGAUAUCCAGAUAUAGCUAGAAGUGCUUUAUGCAUUCGUUUAUUACCUGCUGGACAAACUACUGUAGCUAUUAUGUGUAAUAAAAUUUAAAGAAAGAAAAAAACAAUCCAAGUAAACCAUAUCAGAUACAAUUUAUCUUUGAUCCUAAGCAGCUGUUUAUCUUCUGGUAUUUAAAUCCUGUGUCCACAUGCAAGAACUUCCCAGGCAAUACUAGAACAUUCAGCUGUUACGGAAUGUAUUAUAUACGUGUAAGGUAUGUACCAUAUAUGCAACUAGAAUGUACACCUUUUCAGCCCCACAUUGAUUAUUUAAUGUGUUUUAUAAAAGCUUGUCACUAGAACCUAAAUAAAUGUCCAUAGACCAAAUAAAAAAAAAUAAAAUAAUGAUUUCUGAGGGAAACGAGUAACAGGCCAAAAUAUUCUGUUAGAACGAUCUCAG